rnacentral:rRNA from 1 species
GACAGAGGCCACGAACGUUGUUCGGAAUCACUGGGCAUAAAGCGCACGUAGGCGGCUGGGUCCGUCCGAUGUGAAAUCCCCGGGCUCAACCUGGGAACUGCAUUCGAAACUGCCUUGCUCGAGUAUGGGAGAGGGAAGUGGAAUUUCCGGUGUAGCGGUGAAAUGCGUAGAUAUCGGAAGGAACAUCAGUGGCGAAGGCGACUUCCUGGACCAAUACUGACGCUCAGGUGCGAAAGCGUGGGGAGCAAACAGG